CACUACUUCGUGAAGUAGCUUGACGGUAUCGUAAGAAUAAGGAUCGGCUAACUCCGUGCCAGCAGCCGCGGUAAUACGGAGGAUCCAAGCGUUAUCCGGAAUCAUUGGGUUUAAAGGGUCCGUAGGCGGUUUAAUAAGUCAGUGGUGAAAGCCCAUCGCUCAACGGUGGAACGGCCAUUGAUACUGUUAAACUUGAAUUAUUAGGAAGUAACUAGAAUAUGUAGUGUAGCGGUGAAAUGCUUAGAGAUUACAUGGAAUACCAAUUGCGAAGGCAGGUUACUACUAAUGGAUUGACGCUGAUGGACGAAAGCGUGGGUAGCGAACAGGAUUAGAUACCCUGGUAGUCCACGCCGUAAACGAUGGAUACUAGCUGUUGGGAGCAAUCUCAGUGGCUAAGCGAAAGUGAUAAGUAUCCCACCUGGGGAGUACGUUCGCAAGAAUGAAACUCAAAGGAAUUGACGGGGGCCCGCACAAGCGGUGGAGCAUGUGGUUUAAUUCGAUGAUACGCGAGGAACCUUACCAAGGCUUAAAUGUAGAUUGACCGGUUUGGAAACAGAUCUUUCGCAAGACAAUUUACAAGGUGCUGCAUGGUUGUCGUCAGCUCGUGCCGUGAGGUGUCAGGUUAAGUCCUAUAACGAGCGCAACCCCUGUUGUUAGUUGCCAGCGAGUCAUGUCGGGAACUCUAACAAGACUGCCAGUGCAAACUGUGAGGAAGGUGGGGAUGACGUCAAAUCAUCACGGCCCUUACGCCUUGGGCUACACACGUGCUACAAUGGCCGGUACAGAGAGCAGCCACUGGGCGACCAGGAGCGAAUCUAUAAAACCGGUCACAGUUCGGAUCGGAGUCUGCAACUCGACUCCGCGAAGCUGGAAUCGCUAGUAAUCGGAUAUCAGCCAUGAUCCGGUGAAUACGUUCCCGGGCCUUGUACACACCGCCCGU
rnacentral:rRNA from 1 species